rnacentral:rRNA from 1 species
UAGGGAAUCUUCCACAAUGGGCGAAAGCCUGAUGGGGCAACGCCGCGUGUGUGAUGAAGGGUUUCGGCUCGUAAAACACUGUUGUAAGAGAAGAAUGACAUUGAGAGUAACUGUUCAAUGUGUGACGGUAUCUUACCAGAAAGGAACGGCUAAAUACGUGCCAA